rnacentral:rRNA from 1 species
AUUGAACGCUGGCGGCAGGCCUAACACAUGCAAGUCGAACGGUAACAGGAAGCAGCUUGCUGCUUUGCUGACGAGUGGCGGACGGGUGAGUAAUGUCUGGGAAACUGCCUGAUGGAGGGGGAUAACUACUGGAAACGGUAGCUAAUACCGCAUAACGUCGCAAGACCAAAGAGGGGGACCUUCGGGCCUCUUGCCAUCGGAUGUGCCCAGAUGGGAUUAGCUAGUAGGUGGGGUAACGGCUCACCUAGGCGACGAUCCCUAGCUGGUCUGAGAGGAUGACCAGCCACACUGGAACUGAGACACGGUCCAGACUCCUACGGGAGGCAGCAGUGGGGAAUAUUGCACAAUGGGCGCAAGCCUGAUGCAGCCAUGCCGCGUGUAUGAAGAAGGCCUUCGGGUUGUAAAGUACUUUCAGCGGGGAGGAAGGGAGUAAAGUUAAUACCUUUGCUCGUUGACGUUACCCGCAGAAGAAGCACCGGCUAACUCCGUG